rnacentral:rRNA from 1 species
GACGAACGCUGGCGGCGUGCUUAACACAUGCAAGUCGAACGGUGAAGCACCUUCCUUUUGGUGGGUGUGGAUGAGUGGCGAACGGGUGAGUAACACGUGAGUAACCUGCCCCCUUCUUCUGGAUAACCGCAUGAAAGUGUUGCUAAUACGGGAUAUUCUGUGCCUGCUGCAUGGUGGGUGUGGGAAAGAUGCGCUUUUGGGUGUUUUUGGUGGGGGAUGGGCUCGCGGCCUAUCAGCUUGUUGGUGGGGUGAUGGCCUACCAAGGCGGUGACGGGUAGCCGGACUGAGAGGGUGGACGGUCACACUGGGACUGAGACACGGCCCAGACUCCUACGGGAGGCAGCAGUGGGGAAUAUUGCACAAUGGGCGCAAGCCUGAUGCAGCGACGCCGCGUGAGGGAUGGAGGCCUUCGGGUUGUAAACCUCUUUCGCCAGUGAAGCAGGCCUGUCCCUUGUGGGUGGGUUGACGGUAGCUGGAUAAGAAGCGCCGGUUAACUACGUG